rnacentral:rRNA from 1 species
UGACUACUGGCAGGAUCACCAGGUAGCAUCUUUUUGCCGCCGGCACCGUAUGAGCGAGGACAAUUACUAUCCUCCCGUCAACACAGGGCACGUCAGGCUUUCGUAAGGGACAAUUGAUUCGGGCAAAAAGGGAAAAAGUCCCCGACCGAUCUUUGCUUCUACAUACAAGACUUCGAGCAACCCUAGGGCGUCCAAUGCCUGCUAGCUAAAUAAGAAAAGCAAGAGCAGACGUCCAUGGGUGCAAACUUGUCUACAUCGCACAAAACCUUUUAGCACGAGAUAGAGUAUGGAUCGUGGGACUAGAGAAUUCCGUCAGAAUAGGUACGCUGCACAGGGGGCCAAGGCAGUCCAAGGUAAAAGAUUUAGCACUCAAACAUAAUUGAACAGGUGUGAACUAGCGAUUGUCGCUGCCA